UUCCGGUUGAUCCCGCCGGAGGCCAUUGCUAUCGGAGUCCGAUUUAGCCAUGCUAGUCGUGCGAGUUCAGACUCGCGGCACCGAGCUCAGUAACACGUGGCCAAACUACCCUGUAGAGACGUAUAACCUCGGGAAACUGAGGCUAAUCCGUCAUACCGGUUGAACGGUUGAAACCCAUCAACCUCUAAACGCCCCGGCGCUACAGGAUGUGGCUGCGGCCGAUUAGGUUGACGGUGGGGUAACGGCCCACCGUGCCAAUAAUCGGAACAGGUUGUGAGAGCAAGAACCUGGAGACGGCAUCUGAGACAAGAUGCCGGGCCCUACGGGGCGCAGCAGGCGCGAAACCUUUACACUGCACGCACGUGCGAUAAGGGGACUCCGAGUGCGAGGGCAUAUCGUCCUCGCUUUUGUGUACCGUAGGGUGGUACACGAACAAGGGCUGGGCAAGACCGGUGCCAGCCGCCGCGGUAAUACCGGCAGCCCGAGUGAUGGCCGAUCUUAUUGGGCCUAAAGCGUCCGUAGCUGGGUCUGAAAGUCCAUCGGGAAAUCCACUCGCUCAACGAGUGGCCGUCCGGUGGAAACUCCACACCUUGGGACCGGAAGGCUCGAAGGGUACGGCCGGGGUAGGAGUGAAAUCCUGUAAUCCCGUCCGGACCACCGAUGGCGAAAGCACUUCGAGAAAACGGAUCCGACAGUGAGGGACGAAAGCUAAGAUCGCGAACCGGAUUAGAUACCCGGGUAGUCUUAGCCGUAAACAAUGUUCGUUAGGUA
rnacentral:rRNA from 1 species